AAAAUUGUAUUUUUGACAAUUUCCCAAGAUUUUAGCUGAAACUUAAAAAUAUUAACUAUUCAUCACUUUUUGUUAAUCUAUACUAUAUUAAAAGGGUUAUAUGAGCAUCAGAGAGGAUGUCCACGUCAGACAAUAAAAUCAGCCAAUAGGAAAACAGCUCUCCGCCACGUCAGAUAGGCAAUGACAAAUCUAACUUUUUCCAAAAUGAAUCCCGGCCCCUUUCUCUUCGUCUUCUCCGUCUCUCGACAUUCCUAGAUCCAGAUUUUGUUUCUCCUUUUCUUUUCUCAUUCUCUUCCUUUACUUCAUAGUUGAUAGUACUUUCUGAUUUGUGUUGAGAGUAAGCAACGCGGCAAGAGAUGUGGAGGUGAAGUGUGCCAUGGAAGACGACGGUGGCUUAAGAUCGUUGAGGUGUAGCCGAGCACAGCGACGUCGGACCUGAAGAUAGUGGACCAUAGCCAUCUAUCCCACCGACCACCGUCAUCUCUAUCUCUCUCUUAAUUCAACGGCGGAGGAGGAUAAGUAUUAAAUCCCGGUAUGAAAGAUACUACAGGUAUGAAAGAUUGUCCGUUUUAUCUAAAAACUGUUCGGUUCGGUUAUGGUAGACAUGGCAUUUACAAUCAACUGUCCUACUCAUUCCCCACCGAUUGUAAGGCCAGAACUUUUGAUUGGAGAUUUGAUAAGAGAACUCAGAAGCUACACGACAGAAAGUCAAGAUAUAUGCCAGUGAAUAUGUUAACUAAACUGAAUGUGAUUUUAUGUUUAUACUUUCUUGAAUUCAUUUUAGGUUUGGUUUAACGUUGUCUUCGUAUUUUGAUUCUCAGGCUAGAACAAUGGAUUUGAGGGCGAGCAGAUCCACAUGGAUAUCAAGAUCCAAAUCAGAAGCCAAAGAUUCAGGCGAAUAAAGAUAAGUAGAGAUGUGAGAGACGUGACCAACAGCUUCUCGAACAAAAUCCAAAAAGACCACAUAAUUUCGCAGAGGAGAAGCUACAGUAGAGAAGAUAUGUGGUCAGAUCUCUGUUGGUCGAAACAUUGGUACCACUAGAGUUCUGAGAUCUGGUUGCAAGAUUAACUUCCUUAGGAGGAGGAGGCAGAGAUUAGCCUCACUCGAGAAGAAUAGAAAGAAGCUUGCUCCUGCCCCCAACAAACCGGACACGUUUUUGAUUGCUCCUGGAGUUAGCGUCCUGGCCGGGACGCUUUCUGCUGCUGAAAUUGCCUCUGUCAUUAACAAGUAUGGAUCUCCUCGCCCUAGAAUGGAAAGCAGAUGGAGGAGAACGGAAGUCUUUGCAGUAGCCAAAUGGUCGAGCGCUCCUCAAAAAUAUUUUAGAGAUGCAGUGAUCGAGAUGAUCAUAGAGAAUGGUAUCAACCACCAGGAAGAACUCAAAGAGGUUCUCAUUUGUUAUCUCAGAUUCAACACCGACGAAUAUCAUGUCGACAUGAACAUCAAUAUGUUUCAGCAGAUGUUUAAGACAUGGGAAAAAAUUAUGGAGGAAAGACUAAGGGGGAAACAAAAUGAUACUUAUAGCAAACUUGGGAGUGAAGAAACUGGUGUCUCAGUGGAAAAGGUGAAAGCGAAGUGGUGGGGGAAGUUAAGGAGUACUAGGUAUUAAUGGCCUGUUUCUUUUCUCGAGAUGCAGAUCUUUUUUUCAAAACACGUUUAGUGUCAUUUGAGGUUUUGGUUUUGUUGCUGAGAAGGUUCCAUGGCAUUAAAAUUGAGUUAUGUUUCUCAUGGCCAUCCAAAUCGUAUAUAAAAUUUAGUAAAUAAUUUUUAUUAAAUUUGCAUCUGUGAUGUCAGAGGAUACAAAAACAUGUGGCUGGCCAGCGUUGUGGAUUAUUUUUGUUAUCUGGAAAAAAAGGACAUGGAUUUUCAAAUCAGAAAUCAGUUUUUUAAGACUUUAACCAUCAUAUUUUACAACUAAAUUUGAAUUUUUAUUUUUCCAGAAAUUCCAAAAUUUUAUGUAUAAGGCCACAUAAACUCAAGAAUACACGAUUCAUUAAAUAAUUACUUUUACGUUCAAAUAAAAUAAGUUGUUUUAGUGAAUAUUUUAUAUUGACAUUUUCCUCUUUUCUGCUAUAUGACAUAUUCAUGUUAAACACAACAACAUUAGGUGGUUAGUGAAAUUCAACAAUCAGAAAAAGAUUUUCAAUAAACAAGUAUCAUCAGAUAAAAUUUAAAUUUUAUAGUUGAUUUGGUUACGAAGAUAGAAAAACCCUUCAAAAACAUAUUUCUAUGAAAGAUUUUGUUCAUGCAAAAUGGUCAAUGCUACAUAUAUUACAUUAUUUACAUUUUAAAUGUAUAAAAUAUAUAUCAAAAUAAUUUAUAUAAAUGGCUUGCAAGUAUUAAAAAUGAGAAAAUAAAAGAUUCCAAUUAGCCGAAAUAAAGCAGUACUAAAUACAUAUGAAGAACUCGACCAUAAAACAGUUUUACCUUUUCAAUUUGUAAAUAGUAAAAAAAAUUCUCAAAACAAAAAAUAUAUAAUCUCAUAUUUUUAUAAUUAUAUUUUCUAAAUCUACUUAAACUUAUACAUACAUAUACAACUAAUUGGUUGGCUAGCUAUACGCUAAAUGUCCUCUAACUGUUAAUAAUGAUUAGAAUGUACCAAAAUUUGAAUAUUUAAAUAGAAAUCUAAAGAGAACAAUAAAUAAACUAAUUAUUGGAAAACUAAACAAAUCCAUAAAAAUAAAGAUAAUAAACUAGGGUCAGUGGCUACAGUCAAUAGUUUAAAUCAAGUGGCUAUAGUCAAUAGUUUAAAUCUCAAAUUUUUAUUUUGCCAUGAAAAACAAAUUAUUUAACUAAUUUAUUAAUAAUAAAUUAGGACUUUGGACAAAAAUUAAGAAAAAAUAAUUAAAUAGCAAUUACUAUUUAUAAAAGAAAGUUUUGGCUAUUAAAAAAAAAUUAAAUCUAAAAAAUUACAUUGCGAAGAUUUUCUUUAAUUGUUACCUCCAGUCUAUUAUGUAUAUAUUAUUAGAUUUCCAUCUUUAUUUAUAAUAUUAUACCAAUUAAAUUUGUGUAAAGGUCAAUUUAGGUUAGAUCAUUACCAAUUGAUGCAUUUGGCUUCUCGCUAUACUACCUCCAUCAUAAACUGCUUAAUAUUUAACUUUAAGAGUCUAAAAUAAUAAUCGAAGUAUGUUUAUACUCUAACAUACAUACGAUAUUGCAAGGUUGUGUAUUUUAUACACAAUACUAAUGACAAAUAUAUCUGCAUGUGUAAUGCACAUAAUCAAUCCAAAGUACUUUAUGUAGUAUCUAAGCAUGAAAUCGUUUAUAAUGAAAUCUUCCACAGGUUUCACAGUAUUAUAAUAAACACUUAUUUACAAAAUAAUAAAUACCAAACACAUUUUAAAAUUGAACUAUCAUAUUAAAACAAAUAAAUGAUAUAAUAUAGCACAUAAUAAAAGUACUCUAUUUUAAACUUUUCUAUGUUUAAGUUAUACUCCCUCUAUUUCAAAAUUAUCAAUGUUUUGGAUAACAAAAAAAGUUUUAAAAGAUAUUUAUUUUUUUACAUUCUCAAUGUAUUUUUACUAGGUUAUAAUUGUAAAUUGUAAAUUGUAAACUUCGAAAUAAGCAAAUUGUGAUUACUGAAUUUUGACCGGUUAAAAAUUAUAGAAAAUAGUUAAUCACAAAGAAUAAUAUAUUUAUAAUCAAUAUAUAAGAUAAGUUUUUAUAUGUAUGAAAAUUUAAAACUUACAUCUUUUAAACAUUAAUCUAUAAACAAACAAACCGCGCGUAGCGCGGUAAAAUCUCUAGUUUUAAUAAUAAAUAAACAACAAAGAGUGAGAGGUUGUUCUGUGGAUUUUGUUUUUGGUUUUACUUUAGAAAAUAAUCUGUGAAUUGUUUUUUUUUGCUUUAAUUGUUUUGUUAUAUAUUUAUUUUCAAAGCACUGAAUUAAAUCUUUAGAAAAGUUGAUUUUGAAAACUAAUAUAUUAUUUUUUAAAAAAAUUAUACUGUAUCUUUAAUUUUAAAAGCUAAAUUAUGAUUGUUUAAAAAAAAAACAGAUUUAUAGAAAAAGUGAAUGUCUAAAACAUUUACCACCAUUACCAAUCAAUCUCUGAGUUUAUUCAUUUCAAAUUCGUUGGACAACAUAAUAAAUUAAUUUGCGUAUUAUUACUUAUAUUUUUGGUAGUCAAUUUUGAAAUAAUAUAUAUACAUGCUUUUAUAAAAAAUAAACAAGCUAAAAUUAAUUAAUAAUUAUAAGAAGAAAUUUACCCGGGCAUAGCCCGGGCAAAGACCCUAGUA